rnacentral:rRNA from 1 species
GAUAACGCUGGCGGUAUGCCUAACACAUGCAAGUCGAACGAAAGUUUAUACUUUAGUGGCGGACGGGUGAGUAUACUGGAGAAUCUACCUUUAGGAAGGGAAUAACAAUUGGAAACGAUUGCUAAUGCCCUAUAUGCUUAGCAGUGAAACAGAUUUAUCUGCCUGAAGAUGAGCUCGCGCCUGAUUAGCUAGUUGGUAGAGUAAAAGCCUACCAAGGCAACGAUCAGUAGCUGGUUUGAGAGGACGAUCAGCCACACUGGGACUGAGACACGGCCCAGACUUCUACGGAAGGCAGCAGUGGGGAAUUUUCCGCAAUGAGCGAAAGCUUGACGGAGCAAUACCGCGUGAGGGAAGAAUGCCUGUGGGUUGUAAACCUCUUUUCUUAGGGAAGAAAAUAUGACGGUACCUAAAGAAUAAGACAUCGGCUAACUCCGUGCCAAGCACAGACCGCGGUAAUACAGGGGGAUGCAAAGCGUUAUCCGGAAUUACUGGGCGUAAAGCGUCUGCAGGUGGCUUAAAAAGUCUGCUGUUACAACAUAUUAGAGCUCAAAUCUGAGGUAAGCA